GGUAUCGCCGUUAGUCAUGUGCAAAUAUGGAUAGCUGUUUUAGCCGUCUUUAUUGACUGGUUCAUAAAAGUUAUCAGAUAUCACUUUGAUUAAAUUAGAGUGCUUAAAGCAAGUGUGUUACUUGGAUAUAAAUGCAUGGAAUGAUGGAAUAUGUUGUUAUUCUAUUUGUUGGUUUUUGAAUGAUAAAAUGAUUGAAAGGAACUGUUGGGGGCAUUCGUAUUGUUGUGAGAGAGGUGAAAUUCUUAGACCACAGCAAGACGAACUACUGCGAAAGCAUUUGCCAAGAAUGUUUUCAUUGAUCAAGAACGAAAGUUAGAGGUUCGAAGGCGAUCAGAUACCGCCCUAGUUCUAACCAUAAACUAUGCCAACUAGCAAUUUGCUUUGUAUUUUUUAUGACUAAGUGAGAGGCCACGGGAAACCUAAGUAGGGUUAUGGGGGAAGUAUGGUUGCAAAGCUGAAACUUAAAGGAAUUGACGGAAGGGCACCACCAGGAGUGGAGCCUGCGGCUUAAUUUGACUCAACACGGGAAAACUUACCUGGUCCUGACACUAGAAGGAUUGACAGAUUGAUAGCUCUUUCUUGAUUUGGUGGAUGGUGGUGCAUGGCCGUUCUUAGUUGGUGGAGUGAUCUGUCUGGUUAAUUCCGAUAACGAACGAGACUCUAGCCUAUUAAAUAAUACACGGAAUUUUAUCUUCCGCGGUAUUUCUUAGUGGGAUCAAGCG
rnacentral:rRNA from 1 species